CCUACGGGAGGCAGCAGUGGGGAAUAUUGCACAAUGGGCGCAAGCCUGAUGCAGCCAUGCCGCGUGUGUGAAGAAGGCCUUCGGGCUGUAAAGCACUUUCAGCGGGGAGGAAGGCGGUGAGGUUAAUAACCUCAUCGAUUGACGUUACCCGCAGAAGAAGCACCGGCUAACUCCGUGCCAGCAGCCGCGGUAAUACGGAGGGUGCAAGCGUUAAUCGGAAUUACUGGGCGUAAAGCGCACGCAGGCGGUCUGUCAAGUCGGAUGUGAAAUCCCCGGGCUCAACCUGGGAACUGCAUUCGAAACUGGCAGGCUAGAGUCUUGUAGAGGGGGGUAGAAUUCCAGGUGUAGCGGUGAAAUGCGUAGAGAUCUGGAGGAAUACCGGUGGCGAAGGCGGCCCCCUGGACAAAGACUGACGCUCAGGUGCGAAAGCGUGGGGAGCAAACAGGAUUAGAUACCCGUGUAGUC
rnacentral:rRNA from 1 species